rnacentral:rRNA from 1 species
AUUGAACGCUGGCGGCAGGCUUAACACAUGCAAGUCGAGCGGAGAGAGGUAGCUUGCUACUGAUCUUAGCGGCGGACGGGUGAGUAAUGCUUAGGAAUCUGCCUAUUAGUGGGGGACAACAUUUCGAAAGGAAUGCUAAUACCGCAUACGCACUACGGGAGAAAGCAGGGGAUCUUCGGACCUUGCGCUAAUAGAUGAGCCUAAGUCGGAUUAGCGAGUUGGUGGGGUAAAGGGUUACCAAGGCGACGAUCUGUAGCGGGUCUGAGAGGAUGAGCCGCCACACUGGGACUGGGACACGGCCCAGACUCCUACGGGAGGCAGCAGUGGGGAAUAUUGGACAAUGGGCGCAAGCCUGAUCCAGCCAUGCCGCGUGUGUGAAGAAGGCCUUAUGGUUGUAAAGCACUUUAAGCGAGGAGGAGGCUACUUUAGUUAAUACCUAGAGAUAGUGGACGUUACUCGCAGAAUAAGCACCGGCUAACUCUGUGCCAGCCGCCGCCGUAA